GAAUGUGAGGGCGGUCUGGCUGCGACAUCUGUCACCCCAUUGAUCGCCAGGGUUGAUUUGGCUGAUCUGGCUAGCUAAGCUGGUGUUCCCUUUCUCCCUCACCACUCCAUGUGCGUCCCUCCCAAAGCUGUGCGCUCAGUCGAAGAGGACGGCCUUCCCCAAAUAGAGAGGGACCCAUCUUCAGUCAAGGGUAUACAAGUAGCUGCGCUCCCCUGCUAGAACCUCCAAACAAGCUCUUAAACAAUUCCUUAUAAUGCAUCCCAUGUUUAAAAAUUCAGAGUGAGAGGACCAGGCAGUGGUGUGCCUGAUA
ensembl:misc_RNA 7SK 7SK RNA